rnacentral:rRNA from 1 species
AGAAUCCCGUGCGAUGAGAUGCCCAAUUCUAUGUAAAGUGCUUUCGAAGAGUCGAGUUGUUUGGGAAUGCAGCUCUAAGUGGGUGGUAAAUUCCAUCUAAAGCUAAAUAUUGGCGAGAGACCGAUAGCGAACAAGUACAGUGAUGGAAAGAUGAAAAGAACUUUGAAAAGAGAGUGAAAAAGUACGUGAAAUUGUUGAAAGGGAAGGGCUUGAGAUCAGACUUGGUAUUUUGCGAUCCUUUCCUUCUUGGUUGGGUUCCUCGCAGCUUACUGGGCCAGCAUCGGUUUGGAUGGUAGGAUAAUGACUAAGGAAUGUGGCUCUACUUCGGUGGAGUGUUAUAGCCUUGGUUGAUACUGCCUGUCUAGACCGAGGACUGCGUCUUUUGACUAGGAUGUUGGCAUAAUGAUCUUAAGCCACCCGUCUUGAAACACGGACCAAGGAGUCUAACGUCUAUGCGAGUGUUUGGGUGUAAAACCCGUACGCGUAAUGAAAGUGAACGUAGGUGAGAGCUCUUAAGAGUGCAUCAUCGACCGAUCCUGAUGUCUUCGGAUGGAUUUGAGUAAGAGCAUAGCUGUUGGGACCCGAAAGAUGGUGAACUAUGCCUGAAUAGGGUGAAGCCAGAGGAAACUCUGGUGGAGGCUCGUAGCGGUUCUGACGUGCAAAUCGAUCGUCGAAUUUGGGUA